rnacentral:rRNA from 1 species
AAUUUUCCGCAAUGGACGGAAGUCUGACGGAGCGACGCCGCGUGGGGGAAGAAGGCCUUCGGGUUGUAAACCUCUGUCCUCAGGGACGAAGAGGGUGUAGUGAUGCACCGAAGACGGUACCUAAGGAGGAAGCCCCGGCUAACUACGUGCCAGCAGCCGCGGUAAUACGUAGGGGGCAAGCGUUGUCCGGAAUUAUUGGGCGUAAAGGGUGCGUAGGCGGCCUUUUAAGUCAGAUGUGAAAGCCCACGGCUUAACCGUGGGACUGCAUUUGAAACUGGAGGGCUUGAGUAUCGGAGAGGGUAGUGGAAUUCCCAGUGUAGCGGUGAAAUGCGUAGAUAUUGGGAGGAACACCAGUGGCGAAGGCGACUACCUGGACUGAUACUGACGCUGAGGUACGAAAGCGUGGGGAGCAAACA